rnacentral:rRNA from 1 species
AUUGAACGCUGGCGGCAGGCCUAACAUAUGAAAGUAGGUCGAGCGGCGGACGGGUGAGUAAUGUAUUGGGAUCUGCCUGACUGAGGGGGCUAACUACUGGCAACGCUAGCUAAUACCGCAUACCAUCAGAUGAACCCAUAUUGGAUUAGCUUGUAGGUGCGGUAACGGCGCACCUAGGCGACGACCCCUAGCUAGUCUGAGAGGAUGAUCAGCCCUGCUGGGACUGAGACACGGCCCAGACUCCUACGAGAGGCAGCAGUGGGGAAUAUUGCACAAUGGGCGCAAGCCUGAUCCAGCCAUGCCGCGUGUAUGAAGAAUGCCUUCGGGUUGUAAAGUACUUUCAGUAGGGAGGCAUUACCGACAGAGGAAGCAACGGCUAGCUCCGUGCCAGCAGGCGCGGUAAGUC